rnacentral:rRNA from 1 species
ACGCUCGACACCUACAGGAGGCAGCAGUAGGGAAUCUUCCACAAUGGACGCAAGUCUGAUGGAGCAACGCCGCGUGAGUGAAGAAGGUCUUCGGAUCGUAAAACUCUGUUGUUAGAGAAGAACACGAGUGAGAGUAACUGUUCAUUCGAUGACGGUAUCUAACCAGCAAGUCACGGCUAACUACGUGCUAGCAGCCGCGGUAAUCUGAGCGGGCUGGCAAGGC